UACGUAGGGAGCAAGCGUUGUCCGGAAUCAUUGGGCGUAAAGCGCGCGUAGGUGGCUUCGUAAGUCCGUUGUGAAAGUCAAAGGCUCAACCUUUGAAAGCCGAUGGAUACUGCGGAGCUAGAGUACGGAAGAGGCGAGUGGAAUUCCUGGUGUAGCGGUGGAAUGCGCAGAUAUCAGGAGGAACACCAAUAGCGAACGCAGCUCGCUGGGACGUUACUGACACUGAGGCGCGAAAGCGUGGGGAGCGAACAGG
rnacentral:rRNA from 1 species